GUUAAGCACCGUCAAGCCAGGGUAGUACUUGGAUGGGUGACCGCCUGGGAACUCCUGGUGCCGUAGGCUUUGCCUACGACCAUACCACGGUGAACACACCCGUUCUCGUCCGAUC
rnacentral:rRNA from 1 species